UGCCAGCCGCCGCGGUAAUACGUAGGGAGCGAGCGUUGUCCGGAAUUACUGGGCGUAAAGGGUGCGUAGGCGGCAAUAUAAGUCGUUUGUGAAAUCCCCGGGCUUAACCCGGGAUGUGCAGGCGAAACUAUAUAGCUUGAGUAUGGUAGAGGAGAAUGGAAUUCCUAGUGUAGCGGUAAAAUGCGUAGAUAUUAGGAGGAACACCAGUGGCGAAGGCGGCUUUCUGGACCAAUACUGACGCUGAGAUGCGAAAGCGUGGGGAGCGAACAGGAUUAGAUA
rnacentral:rRNA from 1 species